AUUGAACGCUGGCGGCAGGCCUAACACAUGCAAGUCGAACGAGUGGCGGACGGGUGAGUAAUGUCUGGGAACCUGCCUGAUGGAGGGGGCUAACUUCUGGAACCGGUAGCUAAUACCGCAUACCAUCAGAUGUGCCCAGAUGGGCUUAUCUUGUUGGUGGGGUAACGGCUAACCAAGGCGACGAUCCCUAGCUGGUCUGAGAGGAUGACCAGCCACACUGGAACCGAGACACGGUCCAGACUCCUACGGGAGGCAGCAGUGGGGAAUAGUGGACAAUGGGCGCAAGCCGGAUGCAGCCAUGCCGCGGGUAUGAAGAGGGCCUUCGGGUUGUAAAGUACGUUCAGCGGGGAGGCGUUACCCGCAGAAGAAGCACCGGCUAACUCCGUGCCAGCAGCCGCGGUAAUUC
rnacentral:rRNA from 1 species